CAGUGAAGAUUGAUGGACCAGCCUCUUUCCAGGUCCCAGGACUUUGCAAGAGAUGGAGACAGUGCAGAGAGCUGUCUGGAGUCACAAUCUGAACAGAUUCUCGGGCGCUCCUUCUCUCCUUCCAUCACUACAGUUUUAUACAGUGGAACCCAUACCCAGAGAUUCUGUUUCAGAAGAUUUGGGAUAGAUGCAGAAAUCUGCAUUUUAAACAAGCUACUCAGAUGAUUCUAAUGCAGGUGUUUUUCAUGCACCAUCUCACUGAGACCUCAACAAAGUUUUUAUGAGAGAAGCAAGCAGGGGAUGCCUUCAAAGUUCUGAUGGAGCUGAACAAAGAAGCCAGCUUACAGCUUACUGGCCAAGGUUUAACAACUUGAGCAUCAAAAUGGAAAAUACAAAUUGUAAUUAAUUAAAACAAGUAGACUGUG
rnacentral:lncRNA from 10 species